UAAUCCCAAUAAACCCUAGCCAAUUGUAUUUCCCAUGACUAUUUCUUAAACCCUCCAUCCUCCCCUCCCGUCUAAAACCUCCUCAGCCGUGCUGCUGAGUGCCGUUGCCGCCGUCUUUCUCGAUUUUCCUUAUCCGCCGGAUAUUUCUUCCUUGUUUUGGUCUCAGUUACAGCCGACCCACUGACUAAAUAACUGUGCGCACACUGAAUCGGAAGUUGACAAUGUCCGGCAAAGAUAAGAAUUUGCAUAUUAUGAUGACGGAGUCGGAAUCCGAACAAGAAGAUGUUGGAAAAGAAGGCAUUGAGUGGAUAAUGAAUCUUCCAGACGUGCCCAUGAAGCUCCCACCACAUGUUGAAUUGCAGAGAACUCGAGUCGAAUGCAAAGGCGAUGCUCCCAUUCAUACAGAUACCAUACAGUAUUCUGGAGCAUUUGCUUCCAUGGGCUUUGAUAACAGUUUACGUCUGGAUAAUUUUCGCAACAACUUUAAAAUUGAAGUUAUUAAUCUGAAAGGGGAUGACAUUGAGUUUGACAUGAUUGGCAUUGAUCCAGCACUUGCUAAUGCAUUUCGAAGAAUCCUGAUAGCCGAGGUUCCUACUAUGGCUAUUGAAAAAGUUCUUUUUGCAAACAAUACAUCAAUAGUCCAAGAUGAAGUGCUUGCCCAUAGGUUAGGUCUCAUUCCGAUUCGUGUUGAUCCAAGGCUUUUCAAGUACUCAGAUAAAGACGCACCAAAUGAGAAUAAUACCAUUGUUUUUAGGCUCCAUGCUCGCUGUGAACGAGGAAAACCACGUCUUACAGUGAAAUCAGAAGCAUUGACUUGGUUGCCAAAUGGUAGUGAAUUUCCCUUGGUGUCUGACAAAUCAAUUCCAAACUCAAAACCCCAAACCUAUACUUCUUUUAGUUGCAGCCAAGACAAACUGCCAGAAUUUUCCAAAAAUUCAAUUGGUCCAAAGGACAGUGAUAUUAUACUUGCUAGACUUGGCCCUGGUCAGGAAAUUGAGCUUGAAGCUCAUGCUGUUAAAGGUAUGGGUAAAACACACGCUAAGUGGUCCCCUGUGGCCACUGCUUGGUACAGGAUGCUUCCUGAGGUUCUACUCCUGGAAGAAAUAGAGGAUGAGCUAGCUGAAGAACUAAAAAGGAAAUGUCCUGUUAAUGUAUUUGACAUUGAAGACAUAGCUGGUAAGAAAAGGGCAACCGUAGCACGCCCACGAGCUUGCACAUUGUGUAGAGAAUGCAUAAGAGGAGAUGCAUGGGAGAAACGUGUCGCAUUGCGUCGUGUGAAAGAUCAUUUCAUUUUUAAGAUUGAAUCAACAGGAGCUUUACCUCCCAAUGUUCUCUUCACUGAAGCUGUAAAGAUUUUGGAAGAUAAGUGCGAACGUUUAAUUGCCGAGCUGUCUUAAUUCCUCUUAAUCCUUAAGUCACAGACUAUAUUAUUUUACUAUAUUUAUAGGUCACCAAUUUUUGUAACAUAUGAAUGGAUUAUUAAGUUUUUGUUUUGAAUUGACAGUGGAAUAGCUUCUUCACCAAUGGAUUACCAAAGAUAUAGGAAGAGAAACUUAAGACACAAUUUGUCAUUUGAACAAUUUUUGUUUUCUUUGGAGCUUAACGUUGAAAUUGUACUCUGGUGAAAUGAGUAUAUGUAUCUCUCAAGACUCUUUUAAGG